rnacentral:rRNA from 1 species
AACCCCUAUCUUUAAUUGCCAUCAGUUCAGUUGGGCACUUUAGAGAGACUGCCGGUGUUAAGCCGGAGGAAGGUGGGAUGACGUCAAGUCCUCAUGGCCUUUAUGUCUAGGGCUACACACGUGCUACAAUGGGUGGUACAAAGAGCAGCUAACUCGCGAGAGUAUGCAAAUCUCAAAAAGCCAUCCUCAGUUCGGAUUGGAGUCUGCAACUCGACUCCAUGAAGUUGGAAUCGCUAGUAAUCGCGGAUCAGCAUGCCGCGGUGAAUACGUUCCCGGGCCUU